UACAGAGGGGGCAAGCGUUGUUCGGAAUUACUGGGCGUAAAGGGCGCGUAGGCGGCCCACUAAGUCGAACGUGAAAUCCCCGGGCUCAACCCGGGAACUGCGUCCGAUACUGGUGGGCUUGAAUCCGGGAGAGGGAUGCGGAAUUCCAGGUGUAGCGGUGAAAUGCGUAGAUAUCUGGAGGAACACCCGUGGCGAAAGCGGCUCUCUGGGACGGUACUGACGCUGAGACGCGAAAGCGUGGGGAGCGAACAGG
rnacentral:rRNA from 1 species